CACGUAGGGGGCAAGCGUUGUCCGGAUUUAUUGGGCGUAAAGAGCUCGUAGGCGGCUUGGCAAGUCGGGUGUGAAAACUCCAGGCUCAACCCGGAGACGCCACCCGAUACUGCCAUGGCUAGAGUCCGGUAGGGGACCACGGAAUUCCUGGUGUAGCGGUGAAAUGCGCAGAUAUCAGGAAGAACACCCGUGGCUAAGGCGGCUCUCUAGUACGGUACUGACGCUGAGACGCGAAAGCGUGGGGAGCGAACAGG
rnacentral:rRNA from 1 species